UUAAUUAUUAAGGAAGAAGAACAGAGAUUGAGAUAUGAAUUUUCAGCAGAAGUAUAACUCAAUGUUUUCUGAGCCUUGGUGAGACUCUGCCUGUCCUCCUGAAGCCAUGUCCAUCCCAGUCUGUGGCUGUGAGAUGAUCUGGAUGGCCAGUGCCCAGCUCUGGAACACAGAGGAGUUUCAGUCCUGCUCCUUACUUUCAAAAAGGAGGCUUGGUAUCAUGGAAAGUCUUCUGCAGGAUUUCUGAAAUGAAGCACCACAAAUUCUAUCCACUCUACAUUUUGGUCAACUGAAUGGAGGCAAGGACCCACCUGAAAACAGCAGAGAAUAUUCCAGGCAUUUCAUCCUUCCAGACUCACUGAGAGAGCACUGGAAGGUGAUGAUGAAAAAUAAUCGGUCAACCCAGGUUAGUUAGGGGUUAAAUGAAUCAAAGUCAAGCCCAGCUUGCUGGGCUGCUGCUAGGCAACAAGUAACUCUGCAUUCAGAAAUUCCCCACUAAUUGAUUCUUGACACCAUUCCCCCUUGGUUUGUACAAAUAGGGAGCUGUUGCUGGGGGAUGGAGAGGAAAAGCUGGGGUGUGGUGAGCACCUGGCUCUGGCAUAUCCCAACAGGAUGAGUCCAUUAUGGUCAUAUCACAUGUGCCUCCAUGAUGUUGGGUGUGGGAUGUCAGAAGACCUUUCAUAGUUAGGAGAGCAACUGUUAUGAAGCAUCUAGAUUCACGCCCUAUUCCCACGGGACAGCCUCUAAGCAGCAGGGGAGCCGACCAGUGUGUAACUUUACCAAGGAUUUUCAAGGCUGCCUGCUGCCAGGUGUCUUCCAGGCCUGCCUGCAGCCUGAGGCCAGUUCAGGGGUUCUUCCUCAGCAACCCUGGGUUGGCCAGACUGUCCUGGGCUAUCAUAUGCCCCUGUUCCACAAGGAAUCCCUCUACACAGCACCACCAGCAUUGCUAUAAAAUACCAGAUUCCACCUACUAACCAAGCAACUGAGUAAGGGCUGAUCCCCCUCCAGCAGGGUCUUCCUCACAGUUUACUGUAUGGGUCUCUUACCAAGAAUUUUCUAGUACAAAGUAGAUCCUAGAAAUUUCCAGU